GGGUCAGUAGGUUGGUCGUGCCACCGGUACGUACUGGUCCCACUGAUUCCUCCUUCCUGAAGAACCGUAAUGCCAUUAAUUUGGUGUUGCGGGGAAACAGGACCGUUACUUUGAAAAAAUUAGAGUGUUUAGAGCAAGCUAACGCUUGAAUACAUUAGCAUGGAAUAAUGAAAUAGGACGAUCGAUCCUAUUUUGUUGGUUUCUAGGAUUGACGUA
rnacentral:rRNA from 1 species